rnacentral:rRNA from 1 species
GAGAAUCCCUCCCGCCGAAAGUCCAAGGGUUCCCGGGCCAGGUGACUCCCCCCGGGGUUAGUCGGGUCCUAAGCCGAGGCCGAAAGGCGUAGGUGAUGGAAAGCAGGCACAAAGAUUCCUGCACCACCAUGCAGCCGUUAUCAGCGAUGGGGUGACGCAGGAGGAUAAGACAGCCGUCGAUCGGAAGUGACGGUCUAAGCGCGCGGGCCGCGGUCCAGGCAAAUCCGGAUCGCAUAGGCCGAGGCGUUAAGGGACGUGAAUCCCUCUGGGUGAAGCGGAUUGUCUGAUUCCAUACUGCCUAGAAAAACCUCUAGUGAGGCUGCAGGUGCCCGUACCGUAAACCGACACAGGUGGACGAGAAGAAUAUUCUAAGGCGCUCGGGUGAUCCACUCUUAAGGAAUUCGACCAAUUAACCCCGUAACUUCGGAAGAAGGGGUGCUCUUGGCGGUGAAGGCCCUGCGGCUGGAGCUGCCGGGAGCGACACUAAAGUGGCUCGGGCGACUGUUUACUAAAAACACAGGUCUCUGCAAAGUCGCAAGACGAAGUAUAGGGACUGACGCCUGCCCAAUGCCGGAAGGUUAACGGGAGAGGUUAGCGCAAGCGAAGCCUUGAACCGAAGCCCCGGUUAAUGGCGGCCGUAACUAUAACGGUCCUAAGGUAGCGAAAUUCCUUGUCGGGUAAGUUCCGACCUGCACGAAUGGCGUAACGAUCCGAGCAUUGUCUCAAGAGUGGGCCCGGUGAAGUUGUAUUACGAGUGAAGAUGCUCGUUACCCGCAUAAGGACGGAAAGACCCUGUGCACCUUUACUAUAGCUUGGUAUUGGGUUUAGUGACAACUUGUAUAGGAUAGGUGGGAGACGUUGAAGCUGGGGCGUUAGCCUCGGUGGAGUCACCCUUGGAAUACCACCCUGGUUGUUAUUGAAUCCUAACCCCGAACCCGUGAAUCCGGGCGGGGGACAGUGCCUGGUGGGUAGUUUGACUGGGGCGGUCGCCUCCCAAAACGUAACGGAGGCGCCCCAAGGUUCUCUCAGCAUGUUUGGAAAUCAUGCGCAGAGUGCAAAGGCAUAAGAGAGCUUAACUGCGAGACCUACAAGUCGAGCAGGUACGAAAGUAGGGCUUAGUGAUCCAGCGGUCCCGUAUGGAAGGGCCGUUGCUCAUCGGACAAAAGGUACGCCGGGGAUAACAGGCUUAUCUCCCCCAAGAGUUCAUAUCGACGGGGAGGUUUGGCACCUCGAUGUCGGCUCGUCACAUCCUGGGGCUGAAGCAGGUCCCAAGGGUUCGUCUGUUCGCCGAUUAAAGUGGCACGCGAGCUGGGUUUAAAACGUCGUGAGACAGUUUGGUCCCUAUCCUAUGCGGGCGUAGGAGAUUUGAUGGAAUCCGUCCCUAGUACGAGAGGACCGGGAUGGACGGACCUAGGGUGUUCCGGUUGUCACGCCAGUGGCAGCGCCGGGUAGCCACGUCCGGAAGGGAUAAGCGCUGAAAGCAUCUAAGCGCGAAACCCAUCCAAAGAUAAGAUCUCCCUGGGAGCAAUCCCCUAAAGGGGCCUGGUAGACCACCAGGUUGAUAGGCAGGAGGUGCAAGCACGGUGACGUGUUCAGCUGACCUGUACUAAUCCCCCGUGAGGCUUGGUCUU